GAAAAGAGGAGUGGCGAACGGGUGAGUAACACGUGGGUAACCUGCCCAUCAGAAGGGGAUAACACUUGGAAACAGGUGCUAAUACCGUAUAACAAUCGAAACCGCAUGGUUUUGAUUUGAAAGGCGCUUUCGGGUGUCGCUGAUGGAUGGACCCGCGGUGCAUUAGCUAGUUGGUGAGGUAACGGCUCACCAAGGCCACGAUGCAUAGCCGACCUGAGAGGGUGAUCGGCCACAUUGGGACUGAGACACGGCCCAAACUCCUACGGGAGGCAGCAGUAGGGAAUCUUCGGCAAUGGACGAAAGUCUGACCGAGCAACGCCGCGUGAGUGAAGAAGGUUUUCGGAUCGUAAAACUCUGUUGUUAGAGAAGAACAAGGAUGAGAGUAACUGUUCAUCCCUUGACGGUAUCUAACCAGAAAGCCACGGCUAACUACGUGCCAGCAGCCGCGGUAAUACGUAGGUGGCAAGCGUUGUCCGGAUUUAUUGGGCGUAAAGCGAGCGCAGGCGGUUUCUUAAGUCUGAUGUGAAAGCCCCCGGCUCAACCGGGGAGGGUCAUUGGAAACUGGGAGACUUGAGUGCAGAAGAGGAGAGUGGAAUUCCAUGUGUAGCGGUGAAAUGCGUAGAUAUAUGGAGGAACACCAGUGGCGAAGGCGGCUCUCUGGUCUGUAACUGACGCUGAGGCUCGAAAGCGUGGGGAGCAAACAGGAUUAGAUACCCUGGUAGUCCACGCCGUAAACGAUGAGUGCUAAGUGUUGGAGGGUUUCCGCCCUUCAGUGCUGCAGCUAACGCAUUAAGCACUCCGCCUGGGGAGUACGACCGCAAGGUUGAAACUCAAAGGAAUUGACGGGGGCCCGCACAAGCGGUGGAGCAUGUGGUUUAAUUCGAAGCAACGCGAAGAACCUUACCAGGUCUUGACAUCCUUUGACCACUCUAGAGAUAGAGCUUCCCCUUCGGGGGCAAAGUGACAGGUGGUGCAUGGUUGUCGUCAGCUCGUGUCGUGAGAUGUUGGGUUAAGUCCCGCAACGAGCGCACCCUUAUUGUUAGUUGCCAUCAUUCAGUUGGGCACUCUAGCAAGACUGCCGGUGACAACCGGAGGAAGGGGGGGAUGACGUCAAAUCAUCAUGCCCCUUAUGACCUGGGCUACCACGUGCUACAAUGGGAAGACAACAAAUUCCCAAAUCGCGAGGCUAAGCAAUUCCUUAAAGUUUUUUCCGUUCGGAUGGAGGUGCACUCGCUGCUGAAACCGAAUCCUAUAAUCCG
rnacentral:rRNA from 1 species